rnacentral:rRNA from 1 species
GACGAACGCUGGCGGCGUGCUUAACACAUGCAAGUCGAACGAUGAAGCCUAGCUUGCUAGGUGGAUUAGUGGCGAACGGGUGAGUAAUACGUGAGUGACCUACCUUUGACUCUGGGAUAAGCCUGGGAAACUGGGUCUAAUACCGGAUACGACCAAUCUCCGCAUGGGGUGUUGGUGGAAAGCGUUAUGGAGUGGUUUUAGAUGGGCUCACGGCCUUUCAGCUUGUUGGUGAGGUAAUGGCUUACCAAGGCGACGACGGGUAGCCGGCCUGAGAGGGUGACCGGCCACACUGGGACUGAGACACGGCCCAGACUCCUACGGGAGGCAGCAGUGGGGAAUAUUGCACAAUGGGCGCAAGCCUGAUGCAGCGACGCCGCGUGAGGGAUGACGGCCUUCGGGUUGUAAACCUCUGUUAGCAUCGAAGAAGCGAAAGUGACGGUAGGUGCAGAGAAAGCGCCGGCUAACUACGUG